CCUCUGUGAAGUCAAGACCAGGUGUUUUGGGGCUCAGUGCCUCUGUGAAGUCAAGACCAGGUGUUUUGGGGCUCAGUGCCUCUGUGAAGUCAAGACCAGGUGUUUUGGGGCUCAGUGCCUCUGUGAAGUCAAGACCAGGUGUUUUGGGGCUCAGUGCCUCUGUGAAGUCAAGACCAGGUGUUUUGGGGCUCAGUGCCUCUGUGAAGUCAAGGCCAGGUGUUUUGGGGCUCAGUGCCUCUGUGAAGUCAAGGCCAGGUGUUUUGGGGCUCAGUGCCUCUGUGAAGUCAAGACCAGGUGUUUUGGGGCUCAGUGCCUCUGUGAAGUCAAGGCCAGGUGUUUUGGGGCUCAGUGCCUCUGUGAAGUCAAGACCAGGUGUUUUUGGGGCUCAGUGCCUCUGUGAAGUCAAGACCAGGUGUUUUGGGGCUCAGUGCCUCUGUGAAGUCAAGACCAGGUGUUUUUGGGGCUCAGUGCCUCUGUGAAGUCAAGACCAGGUGUUUUUGGGGCUCAGUGCCUCUGUGAAGUCAAGACCAGGUGUUUUUGGGGCUCAGUGCCUCUGUGAAGUCAAGACCAGGUGUUUUGGGGCUCAGUGCCUCUGUGAAGUCAAGACCAGGUGUUUUGGGGCUCAGUGCCUCUGUGAAGUCAAGGCCAGGUGUUUUGGGGCUCAGUGCCUCUGUGAAGUCAAGACCAGGUGUUUUGGGGCUCAGUGCCUCUGUGAAGUCAAGGCCAGGUGUUUUGGGGCUCAGUGCCUCUGUGAAGUCAAGGCCAGGUGUUUUGGGGCUCAGUGCCUCUGUGAAGUCAAGGCCAGGUGUUUUGGGGCUCAGUGCCUCUGUGAA